rnacentral:rRNA from 1 species
GACGAACGCUGGCGGUGUGCUUAACACAUGCAAGUCGAACGGCAAGGCCUCUUUCGCGUGGUACUCGAGUGGCGAACGGGUGAGUAACACGUGAGUAACUUGCACUUGACUUUGGGAUAACUUCUGGCAACUGGGGCUAUUACCGGAUAGGAGCUCCUGCUGCAUGGUGGGGGCUGGAAAGUUUCGGCGGUUGGGGAUGGACUCGCGGCUUAUCAGCUUGUUGGUGGGGUAGUGGCUUACCAAGGCGUUGACGGGUAGCCGGCCAGAGAGGGUGACCGGCCACAUUGGGACUGAGAUACGGCCCAGACUCCGACGGGAGGCAGCAGGGGGGAAUAUUGCACAAUGGGUGGAAGCCUGAUGCAGCAACGCCGUGUGCGGGAUGACGGCCUUCGGGUUGUAAACCGCUUUCGCUCAUGACGAAGCUUUGUGUGACGGUAGUGGGUAAAGAAGCACCGGCUAACUACGUG